CCUACGGGCGGCAGCAGUAGGGAAUUUUGCGCAAUGGGCGAAAGCCUGACGCAGCAACGCCGCGUGAUUGAUUAAGCCCUUCGGGGUGUAAACUUCUUUUGUCAGGGAGCAAUUGAGUCCACGUGUGGGCUUAGCGAGAGUACCUGAAGAAAAAGCAUCGGCUAACUCCGUGCCAGCAGCCGCGGUAAUACGGAGGAUGCGAGCGUUAUCCGGAUUUAUUGGGUUUAAAGGGUGCGUAGGCGGAAUAUCAAGUCAGCGGUAAAAAUUCGGGGCUCAACCCCGUCGUGCCGUUGAAACUGAUGUUCGUGAGUGGGCGAGAAGUAUGCGGAAUGCGUGGUGUAGCGGUGAAAUGCAUAGAUAUCACGCAGAACUCCGAUUGCGAAGGCAGCAUACCGGCGCCCAACUGACGCUGAAGCACGAAAGCGUGGGUAUCGAACAGGAUUAGAUACCCUUGUAGUC
rnacentral:rRNA from 1 species